rnacentral:rRNA from 1 species
AUGUCUCAGCUUAAGCUGCCCUCUGCUACACUGUGACCGGCUCAUUGUAUCAGCCACACAUUGAUUGGUGGCUGACACAUAUGGAUAUCUAUGGCAAACUCUGUAGCUAACACAUGCUCUUUGACCCUGCUGGAUGGGUUGUGGCCAUUCUCACAAGAACCAAUUCAGGCUCUGCGUGGCCAGACGUGGAGUACAAAUGGCUGUAUGAAUCACGGUUUCUGUGCAGGUGAUAGUCCUUCAAGGUUUCUGACCUGUCAGCUUCCGAUGGCAGGGUAAUGGCCCACUGUGGCAGUGACACGUGACGGAGGAUUAGGGUUUGAUUCCGGAGAGAAGGCAGCAGGCGCGCAACUUGCCCAAUUCUGGACGAAAGAGGUAGUGACCAGAAAUAGCAAUUCGAGGCAUCCAUGUCUUGUACUUGGAAUGGAUGACCUGCACACUUCCUUUUGAGUAUCUAUUGGAGGGCAAGUCUGGUGCCAGCAGCCGCGGUAAUUCCAGCUCAAUGGCUAUGUUAGAGUUGUUGCAGUUAAAAGGCUCGUAGUUGGAUCUCUGCAGAGGAUGGCCGGUCCGCCCA